GCUUAACACAUGCAAGUCGAGGGGCAGCAUGAGGUUUGCUUGCAAACCUUGAUGGCGACCGGCGCACGGGUGAGUAACGCGUAUCCAACCUGGCCCUUAGUAGGGCAUAGCCCGGCGAAAGUCGGAUUAAUACCCUAUGUUAUCCGAAGAGGACAUCUGAAUUGGAUUAAAGAUUUAUCGCUAAGGGAUGGGGAUGCGUCUGAUUAGGUAGUCGGCGGGGUAACGGCCCACCGAGCCAUCGAUCAGUAGGGGUUCUGAGAGGAAGGUCCCCCACAUUGGAACUGAGACACGGUCCAAACUCCUACGGGAGGCAGCAGUGAGGAAUAUUGGUCAAUGGGCGCGAGCCUGAACCAGCCAAGUANCGUGCGGGAUGACGGCCCUAUGGGUUGUAAACUGCUUUUAUGCGGGGAUAAAGUGCACCACGUGUGGUGUUUUGCAGGUACCGCAUGAAUAAGGACCGGCUAAUUCCGUGCCAGCAGCCGCGGUAAUACGGAAGGUCCGGGCGUUAUCCGGAUUUAUUGGGUUUAAAGGGAGCGCAGGCUGAUUGUUAANCGUGACGUGAAAUGUA
rnacentral:rRNA from 1 species